rnacentral:rRNA from 1 species
AUUGAACGCUGGCGGCAUGCCUUACACAUGCAAGUCGAACGGUAACGGGCCUUCGGGUGCCGACGAGUGGCGAACGGGUGAGUAAUACAUCGGAACGUGCCCGAUCGUGGGGGAUAACGAGGCGAAAGCUUUGCUAAUACCGCAUACGAUCUACGGAUGAAAGCAGGGGACCGCAAGGCCUUGCGCGGACGGAGCGGCCGAUGGCAGAUUAGGUAGUUGGUGGGAUAAAAGCUUAACAAGCCGACGAUCUGUAGCUGAUCUGAGAGGAUGAUCAGCGACACUGGGACUGAGACACGGCCCAGACUCCUACGGGAGGCAGCAGUGGGGAAUUUUGGACAAUGGGCGCAAGCCUGAUCCAGCCAUGCCGCGUGCAGGAUGAAGGCCUUCGGGUUGUAAACUGCUUUUGUACGGAACGAAAAGCCUUCUUUUAAUACAGGAGGGUCAUGACGGUACCGUAAGAAUAAGCACCGGCUAACUACGUG